GGCAGGGGGGUGGUUGUAGCUGGCCUUUAGGGGCAUGUGCACACUGUGUCUCUCUUGCUUGUUUCUUCAUUUUCUCCACUUGGUGCACUCUUGUAGGCAGCCCUGGCAGGCCCAUUGUUCAGGUUGUCUAUGAUUUUCUUUACAUACGUGAACAAUUGUUGUACAGAAUGUGAUAAAAAAUAAAAUAAAAAAGAGUAAUACAACUUUCAACAACGGAUCUCUUGGCUCUCGCAUCGAUGAAGAACGCAGCGAAAUGCGAUAAGUAAUGUGAAUUGCAGAAUUCAGUGAAUCAUCGAAUCUUUGAACGCAUCUUGCGCUCCUUGGUAUUCCGAGGAGCAUGCCUGUUUGAGUGUCAUUAAAUUCUGUCAAAACAUGCAUUUGAGUGUGUUUUGGAUUGUGGGAGUGUCUGCUGGCUUUUAUAUGAGCCAGCUCUCCUGAAAGACAUUAGCUUUGGGGGGGGAGGUGCCAAGUCACUUCUGCCUUUCCAUUGGUGUGAUAGAUGAAUUAACUUAUCUACGCCAGGAAAAGCAGGCUGCAGGUGAUGCACUGUGAUCCUCUCUGCUCUCUAAUUGACAUUUGUCUCUGAUAACUUGACCUCAAAUCAGGUAGGACUACCCGCUGAACUUAAGCAUAUCAAUAAGCGGAGGA
rnacentral:rRNA from 1 species